rnacentral:rRNA from 1 species
GAUGAACGCUAGCGGCAGGCUUAACACAUGCAAGUCGAGGAGUAGAGGCUUUCGGGCCUUGAGACCGGCGCACGGGUGCGUAACGCGUAUGCAAUCUGCCUUCCACUGAGGGAUAGCCCAGAGAAAUUUGGAUUAAUACCUCAUAGUAUUACAGGAUGGCAUCAUCCGGUAAUUAAAGUCACAACGGUGGAAGAUGAGCAUGCGUCCCAUUAGCUAGUUGGUAAGGUAACGGCUUACCAAGGCGACGAUGGGUAGGGGUCCUGAGAGGGAGAUCCCCCACACUGGUACUGGGACACGGACCAGACGCCUACGGGAGGCAGCAGUGAGGAAUAUUGGUCAAUGGGCGCAAGCCUGAACCAGCCAUGCCGCGUGCAGGAUGACGGUCCUAUGGAUUGUAAACUGCUUUUGUACGGGAAGAAACACUGAUUCGUGAAUCAGCCUGACGGUACCGUAAGAAUAAGGAUCGGCUAACUCCGUGCCAGCCGCCGCCGUAAUAC